rnacentral:rRNA from 1 species
AGGACGAACGCUGGCGGCGUGCCUAACACAUGCAAGUCGAACGGGACCAGGGGCAACUCUGGUUCAGUGGCGGACGGGUGCGUAACACGUGAGGAACAUGACCUUCGGCGGGGGAUAGCCGGCCCAACGGCCGGGUAAUACCGCGUACGACCACUUUGGGACAUCCCUGGGUGGUGAGAGCAGCAAUGCGCCGAUGGAGUGCCUCGCGGCCUAUCAGCUAGUUGGUGAGGUAACGGCUCACCAAGGCGACGGACGGGUAGCUGGUCUGAGAGGAGUCGGCCACGCCACAGUUGGGACUGAGACGACGGCCCAGACUCCGUACGGGA